UUGACCUCAAAUCAGGUAGGACUACCCGCUGAACUUAAGCAUAUCAAUAAGCGGAGGAAAAGAAACUAACAAGGAUUCCCCUAGUAACUGCGAGUGAAGCGGGAAAAGCUCAAAUUUAAAAUCUGGCGGUCUUGCGGCCGUCCGAGUUGUAAUCUGGAGAAGCGUUUAUCCGCGUCGGACCGUGUACAAGUCUUCUGGAAGGGAGCGUCGUAGAGGGUGAGAAUCCCGUCUUUGACACGGACAACCGGGGCUUUUGUGAUGCGC
rnacentral:rRNA from 1 species